rnacentral:rRNA from 1 species
UACGGGGGGAGCAAGCGCUGUUCGGAUUUACUGGGCGUAAAGGGCGCGUAGGCGGUCAGCACAAGUCAGUUGUGAAAUCUCCGGGCUUAACUCGGAAAGGUCAACUGAUACUGUGCGACUAGAGUGCAGAAGGGGGCAACUGGAAUUCUCGGUGUAGCGGUGAAAUGCGUAGAUAUCAGGAGGAACACCAAUGGCGAAGGCAGCUUACUGGGCUGUAAACUGACGCUGGAUGCACGAAAGUGUGGGGGAUCAAAACAGGA